CCUUGUACACACCGCCCGUCACACCACGAGAGUUUGCAACACCCGAAGUCGGUGAGGUAACCGCAAGGAGCCAGCCGCCUAAGGUGGGGUAGAUGAUUGGGGUG
rnacentral:rRNA from 1 species